GGACAGUGGAUGGCGGCUGAGGACAGGCUGUGUGAGAACAGAAUGGGAGAAAAGUCCUGCACUUUGCCGCUGCCAACCCGUCUCCUGGCCAGGAAUGUUGGCCGCUCCUGCUACCUGGUCGGCUGACCCCUGCCCAGAGGAAGCCCAGCCUUCGGUGCCCAGAAGAGCAUGUCUGCCUUCCCACACUUCCCUCCCGGCUCCCCUCCUUCUUGGAGCCCUCUUCAUUACUUAGAGAGAAACCCUCGGGGAGAAGCCAAGUGCCGAGGAGAGAGGCUGGUGACGCCCUACCCAAGAGACUGAGAGAGGCAGGAGGGCUGUGGACGGCCGCCAAAAAAGCAGGUUGGAGAGAGGCCUGGGGGCAGACGUGCCUGGAGGCAGGAGACGCCAUAGCUUGAGCAGAGCACAGCAAGACUCUAACCUGCCUUAUACUGAACGCUGAGCUUCUAUCAACGGGCCUGUGAUGAUAAGCUAACCAGCCUUCGCAGCUCGCUCUUGUUUCAUAGCCACAGGCAACUGAAACACUUUCUAUAGGAACAGCAAUGCCGGCUCUCUCCCAGCAUCUACCUCCACGACCAGUUGUUUCAAAUUUAAUCUCGGCAAUUUCGGUUCCUUCUUUCAGGCUAUUAAAAUCUGUGUGCCGGGGCGCCUGGGUGGCUCAGUCAUUAAGUGUCUGCCUUCGGCUUGGGUCAUGAUCCCAGGGUCCUGGGAUCAAGCCCCGCA